CCUACGGGAGGCAGCAGUGAGGAAUAUUGGUCAAUGGGCGCGAGCCUGAACCAGCCAAGUAGCGUGAAGGAUGACUGCCCUACGGGUUGUAAACUUCUUUUGUAAAGGAAUAAAGUGAUGCACGUGUGCCUUUUUGUAUGGACUUUAUGAAUAAGGCUCGGCUAACUCCGUGCCAGCAGCCGCGGUAAUACGGGGGAUCCGAGCGUUAUCCGGAUUUAUUGGGUUUAAAGGGAGCGUAGAUGGGUUGUUAAGUCAGUUGUGAAAGUUUGCGGCUCAACCGUAAAAUUGCAAUUGAUACUGGAAGUCUUGAGUACAGCUGAGGUAGGCGGAAUUCGUGGUGUAGCGGUGAAAUGCUUAGAUAUCACGAAGAACUCCGAUUGCGAAGGCAGCUUACUAAACUGUCACUGACACUGAUGCUCGAAAGUGUGGGUAUCAAACAGGAUUAGAUACCCUAGUAGUC
rnacentral:rRNA from 1 species